rnacentral:tRNA from 1 species
GCGGAUAUGGUCGAAUGGUAAAAUUUCUCUUUGCCAAGGAGAAGAUGCGGGUUCGAUUCCCGCUAU